rnacentral:rRNA from 1 species
UGUGUAGGUGGUCAUAUUAGUCGUUCGUUAAAACCCCGGGCCCAACCCGGGAAGUGCGGGCGAAACGGUAUGACUCGAGGGCGUGAGAGGUGCAUAGAACUCUAGGUGUAGGGGUGAAAUCCGUUGAUAUCUAGGGGAAUACCGAAAGCGAAGGCAGUGCACUGGCGCGUUCCUGACACUCAAACACGAAAGCGUGGGUAGCGAACG